AUUGAACGCUGGCGGCAUGCCUUACACAUGCAAGUCGAACGGCAGCACGGGUGCUUGCACCUGGUGGCGAGUGGCGAACGGGUGAGUAAUACAUCGGAACGUACCUUAUCGUGGGGGAUAACGCAGCGAAAGCUGUGCUAAUACCGCAUACGCCCUGAGGGGGAAAGCGGGGGAUCGCAAGACCUCGCGCGAUUAGAGCGGCCGAUGCCUGAUUAGCUUGUUGGUGGGGUAAAAGCCCACCAAGGCGACGAUCAGUAGCUGGUCUGAGAGGACGAUCAGCCACACUGGGACUGAGACACGGCCCAGACUCCUACGGGAGGCAGCAGUGGGGAAUUUUGGACAAUGGGGGCAUCCCUGAUCCAGCAAUGCCGCGUGAGUGAGGAAGGCCUUCGGGUUGUAAAGCUCUUUUGUCAGGGAAGAAACACCGGCUCUAACACAGUCUGGGAAUGACGGUACCUGAAGAAUAAGCACCGGCUAACUACGUGCCAGCAGCCGCCGUAA
rnacentral:rRNA from 1 species